AAUGGUUUUUCUUUCCCUUGGUUAAAUGUUUGUGUGAUUAUUUUUGGCUUAUUGGUUGGUCAAUCAAAUAUUGAACCCUUUUAAGUUGGUUCCUACAUCUAAAACUAAAUUGUUCAUGAAGUUUCUGAUUGCCUCAUCCUGUCUUUUCCAUUUAUGCAUGUAGGUACAAUGAAUUUGAUCAACCUGUCUGUAGGGUCUGUGAUGUCAUUUUGAAAUCUGAAUCCCUAUGGGAUGCACACCAAGCUUCUCGUAAACAUCAUGAGGCAAUUAAAAAUGUCAAAGCCAAUGCUGCUGGACUAACUCGGGCUAACAAUGCAAAACCUGAGUCCUCAACUGUACUGUCUAAUGCUACAUCUGAACCCUCUAUGAAUUUGCAGAAGGCUCAGCUAUCAUCUGGGCUUCCUGCAGAUUUUUUUGAUAAUCAUGU